CCUACGGGUGGCAGCAGUGAGGAAUAUUGGUCAAUGGGCGCUAGCCUGAACCAGCCACGUAGCGUGAAGGAUGACUGCCCUAUGGGUUGUAAACUUCUUUUAUAUGGGAAUAAAGUGCAGUAUGUAUUCUGCUUUGCAUGUACCUUAUGAAUAAGGUUCGGCUAACUCCGUGCCAUCAGCCGAGGUAAUACGGAGGAUCCGAGCGUUAGCCGGAUUUAUUGGGUGUAAAGGGAGCGUAGGCGGGUUGUUAAGUCAGUUGUGAAAGUUUGGGGCGCAACCGUAAAAUUGCAUUUGAUACUGGCAUCCUGUAGUGCAGUAGAGGUAGGCGGAAUUCGGGGUGUAGCAGUGAAAUGCUUAGAUAGCACGAAGAACACCGAUUGCGAAGGCAGCCUGCUGGACUGUAACUGACGCUGAUGCGCGAAAGUGUGGGUAUCAAACAGGAUUAGAUACCCCAGUAGUC
rnacentral:rRNA from 1 species